UUAAGUUAUUAAGGGCGCACGGUGGAUGCCUUGGCACUAGAAGCCGAUGAAGGACGUUACUAACGACGAUAUGCUUUGGGGAGCUGUAAGUAAGCUUUGAUCCAGAGAUUUCCGAAUGGGGAAACCCAGCAUGAGUUAUGUCAUGUUAUCGAUAUGUGAAUACAUAGCAUAUCAGAAGGCACACCCGGAGAACUGAAACAUCUUAGUACCCGGAGGAAGAGAAAGAAAAUUCGAUUCCCUUAGUAGCGGCGAGCGAAACGGGAAGAGCCCAAACCAACAAGCUUGCUUGUUGGGGUUGUAGGACACUCUAUACGGAGUUACAAAGGACGACAUUAGACGAAUCAUCUGGAAAGAUGAAUCAAAGAAGGUAAUAAUCCUGUAGUCGAAAAUGUUGUCUCUCUUGAGUGGAUCCUGAGUACGACGGAGCACGUGAAAUUCCGUCGGAAUCUGGGAGGACCAUCUCCUAAGGCUAAAUACUCUCUAGUGACCGAUAGUGAACCAGUACCGUGAGGGAAAGGUGAAAAGCACCCCGGAAGGGGAGUGAAAUAGAACCUGAAACCGUGUGCUUACAAGUAGUCAGAGCCCGUUAAUGGGUGAUGGCGUGCCUUUUGUAGAAUGAACCGGCGAGUUACGAUUUGAUGCAAGGUUAAGCAGUAAAUGUGGAGCCGUAGCGAAAGCGAGUCUGAAUAGGGCGUUUAGUAUUUGGUCGUAGACCCGAAACCAGGUGAUCUACCCUUGGUCAGGUUGAAGUUCAGGUAACACUGAAUGGAGGACCGAACCGACUUACGUUGAAAAGUGAGCGGAUGAACUGAGGGUAGCGGAGAAAUUCCAAUCGAACCUGGAGAUAGCUGGUUCUCUCCGAAAUAGCUUUAGGGCUAGCCUCAAGUGAUGAUUAUUGGAGGUAGAGCACUGUUUGGACGAGGGGCCCCUCUCGGGUUACCGAAUUCAGACAAACUCCGAAUGCCAAUUAAUUUAACUUGGGAGUCAGAACAUGGGUGAUAAGGUCCGUGUUCGAAAGGGAAACAGCCCAGACCACCAGCUAAGGUCCCAAAAUAUAUGUUAAGUGGAAAAGGAUGUGGCGUUGCCCAGACAACUAGGAUGUUGGCUUAGAAGCAGCCAUCAUUUAAAGAGUGCGUAAUAGCUCACUAGUCGAGUGACACUGCGCCGAAAAUGUACCGGGGCUAAACAUAUUACCGAAGCUGUGGAUUGUCCUUUGGACAAUGGUAGGAGAGCGUUCUAAGGGCGUUGAAGCAUGAUCGUAAGGACAUGUGGAGCGCUUAGAAGUGAGAAUGCCGGUGUGAGUAGCGAAAGACGGGUGAGAAUCCCGUCCACCGAUUGACUAAGGUUUCCAGAGGAAGGCUCGUCCGCUCUGGGUUAGUCGGGUCCUAAGCUGAGGCCGACAGGCGUAGGCGAUGGAUAACAGGUUGAUAUUCCUGUACCACCUAUAAUCGUUUUAAUCGAUGGGGGGACGCAGUAGGAUAGGCGAAGCGUGCGAUUGGAUUGCACGUCUAAGCAGUAAGGCUGAGUAUUAGGCAAAUCCGGUACUCGUUAAGGCUGAGCUGUGAUGGGGAGAAGACAUUGUGUCUUCGAGUCGUUGAUUUCACACUGCCGAGAAAAGCCUCUAGAUAGAAAAUAGGUGCCCGUACCGCAAACCGACACAGGUAGUCAAGAUGAGAAUUCUAAGGUGAGCGAGCGAACUCUCGUUAAGGAACUCGGCAAAAUGACCCCGUAACUUCGGGAGAAGGGGUGCUCUUUAGGGUUAACGCCCAGAAGAGCCGCAGUGAAUAGGCCCAAGCGACUGUUUAUCAAAAACACAGGUCUCUGCUAAACCGUAAGGUGAUGUAUAGGGGCUGACGCCUGCCCGGUGCUGGAAGGUUAAGAGGAGUGGUUAGCUUCUGCGAAGCUACGAAUCGAAGCCCCAGUAAACGGCGGCCGUAACUAUAACGGUCCUAAGGUAGCGAAAUUCCUUGUCGGGUAAGUUCCGACCCGCACGAAAGGCGUAACGAUUUGGGCACUGUCUCAACGAGAGACUCGGUGAAAUCAUAGUACCUGUGAAGAUGCAGGUUACCCGCGACAGGACGGAAAGACCCCGUGGAGCUUUACUGUAGCCUGAUAUUGAAAUUCGGCACAGCUUGUACAGGAUAGGUAGGAGCCUUUGAAACGUGAGCGCUAGCUUACGUGGAGGCGCUGGUGGGAUACUACCCUAGCUGUGUUGGCUUUCUAACCCGCA
rnacentral:rRNA from 2 species